ACGAACGCUGGCGGCGUGCUUAACACAUGCAAGUCGAACGGAAAGGCCCUGCUUUUGUGGGGUGCUCGAGUGGCGAACGGGUGAGUAACACGUGAGUAACCUGCCCUUGACUUUGGGAUAACUUCAGGAAACUGGGGCUAAUACCGGAUAGGAGCUCCUGCUGCAUGGUGGGGGUUGGAAAGUUUCGGCGGUUGGGGAUGGACUCGCGGCUUAUCAGCUUGUUGGUGGGGUAGUGGCUUACCAAGGCUUUGACGGGUAGCCGGCCUGAGAGGGUGACCGGCCACAUUGGGACUGAGAUACGGCCCAGACUCCUACGGGAGGCAGCAGUGGGGAAUAUUGCACAAUGGGCGGAAGCCUGAUGCAGCAACGCCGCGUGCGGGAUGACGGCCUUCGGGUUGUAAACCGCUUUCGCCUGUGACGAAGCGUGAGUGACGGUAAUGGGUAAAGAAGCACCGGCUAACUGCGUG
rnacentral:rRNA from 1 species